AGACAGCAGUCGCCGCGGGAAUACGGAGGGUGCAAGCGUUAUCCGGAUUUAUUGGGUUUAAAGGGUCCGUAGGCGGAUCUGUAAGUCAGUGGUGAAAUCUCACAGCUUAACUGUGAAACUGCCAUUGAUACUGCAGGUCUUGAGUAAAUUUGAAGUGGCUGGAAUAAGUAGUGUAGCGGUGAAAUGCAUAGAUAUUACUUAGAACACCAAUUGCGAAGGCAGGUCACUAAGAUUUAACUGACGCUGAUGGACGAAAGCGUGGGGAGCGAACAGGAUUAGAUACCCCUGUAGUCCCUGUCUCUUAUAC
rnacentral:rRNA from 1 species